ACAUGUCGCAGUCCUGAAUAUGAUGUUUAUUCAAUUCAAGGAGAAGUAACAAUCUGACUACAUUUUACAUUCCUACCUUGUGGAUUUUGAGUAUGAGGAUUACUGGAAUGUUCAGCGACAGUCACUGAGAUGAAGUGUUUGCUGCAAAAUGAAACAUCGCAGUGUUUUUAAGAUGGAUGUGGUUUUUUAGACGAUUCCUGUCAGGACGUUUUCCUCCCAAAUCCUGAACUGGUCUAUGCUUGGAGAGUCAAAUCCAAAAUGCGAAGGAUGUGAGCAAUUCAGAGUUAACUGGCCACUCAGUGCUCCCACACUCUGAUGCAAGAGUAAAAUCAUGCAUUAGCAAGAGAUGCUGAGACGUCUAACACAUUUGAAGGUCUGUGGAAACGUCAUUUGUAUAAAUGCCUUUAUCAAUAUAUUGAGCAAGAACGUGGUUGUGAUGAACAACUGAGCUGUCUGGAGGAAGCUUAUGGUCGACUGCAGGAGAUUCAUUUUUUCAUUGGUCAGAUGAUGGAGGGUGAAGAGGAGUGUGUGGAGAAAGAGUGUACUAUGUACAAACAAAUAGAUACACAUUUAAAUUGGAAGGUGUAUGUGUUGAAAGCAGGAAAUGUAUCUAACAUAUAACACCUAGAAAAUAUAUAUUUCUGCAUACACUGGAGUUCCACAGUACAAUGUAAAAUGAUUCCUCUAGACUGCAAUAUAAAAAAAAAAAACAUUACUGGUUGAAACAAAAACCUGGGGCUCUAGUUGAAUGAUCUAAACAGUGGAGGUGUACUGAAGAGCUGUCCUCGGAUCAUUGAAAAGUAAGCAUGGUUAGAAAUGUAAGUGUUGUUAAAACACAUUUCUAGCCCUCAGAAAGAACACAAAGUGCUUUAACAUUAUUUGUCAGUGAUUUUUGUUUCUGAGGUCCACUGUAAGUGGCCGGGCCUUAAACCAGAAAUGCCCUAAAAAAACAAGAAUGAGUACUAAGCUUUGCACUUGUAUAUAGAUAGUACUCUGAAAAAAAAACAACUGAGGAAGCAAUGGAGAAGAGCAGAACGAAGGGAAAGUCAGAAGGAGGGACUCAAUCUGUUACAAAGUGUCAUAAAAGACAAGCUUGCAACAUUGCGCAGAGCUGAGCUCCUACGGAAACGCUACAAAAAGAAGGAGCAUGUGAGAACUAACUUUUAUAAAGACCCAUUCAAAUUUCACCAAUGAAAAGAAUGGCACACUAAAAGCAUCUAAGUUUGAGCUGGAGAGAUAUUUGAAGGAAACACAUA